rnacentral:rRNA from 1 species
UACGAAGGGGGCGAGCGUUGUUCGGAUUUACUGGGCGUAAAGGGCGCGUAGGCGGUGUGUCAAGUCAGGCGUGAAAGCCCCGGGCUCAACCUGGGAACCGCGCUUGAGACUGGCACGCUCGAGUUCGGGAGAGGAUGGUGGAAUUCCCAGUGUAGAGGUGAAAUUCGUAGAUAUUGGGAAGAACACCGAUGGCGAAGGCAGCCAUCUGGACCGACACUGACGCUGAGGCGCGAAAGCGUGGGGAGCAAACAGG